ensembl:miRNA
GCCUCGUGGCCUGGUCCCCACUAUUUGAGAAGAGUCACAUCUCGGAGGUGAGGACCGCCUCGUGGUA